CGCGCUUUCGCAGGUCAAUAAUGGCGAUUCCCGAUUCCCAUUUUAGCUGGAAAAAAAAAAAAACGAAGAACAUGUUCAUAACGAUGGAAAAACGAUUAUUAAAACGUGAUUCUUCAGAUGCUCUUGAAGUGUCACGAGCAGGUUUCAGAGUGAUCGUUUUUUUUAUUUACUUCCCGCUCUCAUCACUUCUCACUUCACUCCUAACUUCACUUCCGGUUCCAUGGAUCGCUUUUGCUCAAACCUCGAAGACGAUUCACCAUCCUCUUCCAAUGUCUAUUGGCUCCUCUUCCAAGUCCUCUCUCUCAUUCCUCUCUGGCAUUACCUUCUCUUCGCCGUUUUUAUUCUCCUUUCAUUUCUCUACAAUUUCCUCGAACUCCAUUUCCUCGAAAAUCUCUUCUCUGGAUUCUCAGGCUCCCCUGUUUCUCUCACCUACAACCACUCCUCUAAAAUCCACGAAGCCGUUGUUUCGAAAUGUAAGAUACUUCAUGGAAGGUACUUUGCGACGCCGUGGCUUUGCAGUCCUCAUCUUCAGACUCUUUUCUUGAACUACUUCGGGAGGCCUCCUAUUUUCAAAUACACAAGACAAAUAUUUAGGACUCAAGAUGGUGGAACCAUUGCUUUGGAUUGGCUGUCGAGUUCUGAUGUUUCUGGUGGUGCUUGUCAUCUGGAUGAUGUUGCUUCUAAAGAUGAAUCUACUCCAAUUGUUGUAGUAAUUCCUGGUCUUACAAGUGACUCUUCUUCUGCUUAUAUCAAGCAUUUUGCUUAUCAUACAACAAAGCGUGGAUGGAAAGUUGUUAUCUGUAACCACCGAGGAUUCGGAGGUGUUCCAAUCACGUCUAAUUUUUCCUACAAUGCUGGAUGGACUGAGGAUGUCCGCACAGUGGUCAAUUAUCUCCACAAAGAGAAAUCCGGGGCACCUUUGUUUCUUGUUGGAACUAGUAUUGGAGCUAAUAUUCUGGUAAAAUAUCUUGGUGAGGAUGGUGAGAAUAUUCCUGUAGCUGGAGCUGUUGCUGUUUGCUCUCCUUGGGACCUUAUGUUAGGGGACAGAUUUAUUCGUCGUAGGCGUGUGCAGAAACUUUAUGAUAGUGCGCUUGCCGUUGGACUUCAAGAUUAUGCAAAAUUGCACCAGCCUCACUUCUCUCGCAAUGCUAAUUGGGAAGGGAUAGAAAAGUCACUUUCUGUUCGAGAUUUUGAUGACCAUGCAACCCGCAUUGUUGGGAAAUAUGAGUCUGUUGAUACGUACUAUAGACGCUGCAGCAGUUCUGCUUAUGUGCAAUCUGUUUCGAUUCCGCUUCUAUGUAUUACUGCUCUGGAUGAUCCAAUCUGUACUACGGAAGCCAUUCCCUGGGACGAAUGCAAGGCAAAUAAAAAUAUAGUGUUAGCUACUGUAAAUCAUGGAGGACAUCUGGCGUUCUAUGAAGGGAUAACUGCGUCUGGGCUGUGGUAACAAGUCAUUUUGUACAUCUGACAUUUCAGCAUUUUCUUUCAUUCAAAAACCAUAUGCAUUUAGCUGUCCUAUUAUUGCAAUUUUUUUGUUGGGAUUGGGGGAUAUUCUUUGAUUGGUUCAAGUUGCAAUAGCAUGCAUGCAUGGCAUCUCCUAAUUUUGAAUCAGGCAGCCACUUUUAUAAUAAAAUUGAAGGGCAAUAUUACUUUCUCUUGCAGGUGGGUAAGGGCUGCUAAUGAAUUCCUUGGGAUAAUACACAGCAGCAAUUAUAUGCAUGUACCAAAAAAGAGCAACUUUGUUGGCUGAACAUGCUGUUUUCUCUGUUAACGGGGAUGCAGAUUUCUAAACCAAAUGGACCAUUGGACUUGUCAAUUGAUCGGGGCCCUUAUGUUAAUGUUACUGAAGGUGGAAUGGUAGCUGCAUUGAACAGUGACCCUCCGACAGACAAUGUGGAAGAUACACAUGUAAUCCAGGAUGCACAUCAUGACAGUCAUGAAUGAGUUCCAACAGAAACUCUUAAUGAACAAGAUGAGCUUGUGACUAACUCAUGCUUAUAAUGCGGUGAAUCCUAUCGUUUUGGACAAACAGUCAGCGUGUGUUUGGAUGGCAUCAAAUCCACCCAAGCAUGAAUGCAUUUAAAUGCUACAUGUUAUAUUUUUUUCGUUAAUACAUGAUUUUGUUCAAACACGUGCUUAGUUCCAACAAUGUAGCUCAUCUUGAUUUAUAAGAUACUAUAAGACAGUAUAGCUUGAGUAAGAACAAAGAUCUAUUACAGU